CAACCGUUAGCACUUGCGCCGUUCAUCUCGACAGAGCUACAUCCGUGCAAGACGCUUUCUCUCCGCCAAGGAAGAGACGGACGAGCUGUGAUCGUCCUGAGUCCUUUUAAUAGAGAGUUGGACUCAAGACGCUGAGGGACAAACAGAGGUUACAAGGACAAGAACCGACUGCACUAGGCAGUCUAUUAAACUCUGCCAAAUGACUGCAGAAAGAGAGAAGUCCAGUCAAGAUGACCAUUAAAUAUGACUACAGCCACAGAGUUCACAGAGGACACCAGGACACCCAAGACUACAGAAAUCUACAUCCAUCCAUCCAUCCAUUUUCCAUGCCACUUAUCCGAAACAGGGUCACGGGGAGCCUGGAGCCUAUCCCAAGGGACUUGGGGCAUAAGGGGGAAGAAAUUGGAGAACCUGGAGGAAACCCCCAAAUCACAUGGAGAACAUGCAGGCUCCGUGCACACAAGGAAGAGGUGGGAUUUAAGCUGCCUAGAGGUGUGAGACAAGCAUGCUAACCACUAAGCCACUGUGCCAAAUUAUUGAAGAUGUUGAUAUAUAUACUGCCAGUCCAUAUUGUAUUUGGAAACAUAAAAUUAAAUAUAUCUGUAAUUGGUUCACUUCCAGACUGCCCAUUGAAAAACACGAAAGAAUUCAUAAAGUCAGUAUAAUGUAUUGUAUAUACUAUACUAGCUGUAUAUAAUAGCUCUUAAAAAUAUUACAUUUUAAAAUUGAACAAACAGUGAUUUUAAGAAGUCAUACAUGGGUAUUCCGGGGGUUGCUUACACAUAAAAACAUCUGACCCCAUGGAGGGCAAUUCGGUUUUAGGGACCGAGCAGUAUACCACCAUCAAAUGCCAUGUGUGUAUGAAUCCCCAGAUACA